UGAGGAAUAUUGCGCACUGGGGGCAACCCUGACGCAGCGACGCCGCGUGAGUGAGGAAGGCCUUCGGGUCGUAAGCUCUGUCAAAGGGAAAGAAGUGCAUGGUGGCUAAUACCUGCCAUGUUUGACGGUACCCUUAAAGGAAGCACCGGCUAACUCCGUGCCAGCAGCCGCGGUAAUACGGAGGGUGCAAGCGUUGUUCGGAAUCACUGGGCGUAAAGGGCGCGUAGGCGGUUUGAUAAGUCAGAUGUGAAAGCCCACGGCUUAACUGUGGAAGUGCAUUUGAAACUGUCAGACUUGAGUAUCAGAGGGGAAAGUGGAAUUCCCGGUGUAGAGGUGAAAUUCGUAGAUAUCGGGAGGAAUACCGGUGGCGAAGGCGACUUUCUGGACUGUAACUGACGCUGAGGGACGAAAGCGUGGGGAGCAAACA
rnacentral:rRNA from 1 species